AUUGAUCUGGCCUUUAGAAGUAACUGAAAAGCUGAAAGAGCAGUGUUUAGAGACCCAGGUCUUCUCGGUGCUGUGGAAGUCUCAGAGGUUUAAAUGCUUGAGGAUUGCCAUCUUCUGGUGUCACCAAGCCCUGCUUCAUGCAGUCUCUCACCAUGUGACAUGGAGAACAUGCUGCUUGUUUUUCUACAUAAUUAGGUGUGAUGCCUAGAGAAUGGAUGUGACAUAUUAGCAGCCAGAAUAACAGAGCAGCAACAUGUCACUUGUUCUACAUCUGAUUAAGAUAAACUUUUCCAUCAGAAAACUGCAGAAGGUAGCUAUUUGUAGUUAUGCCUGCUUCUAAUAUUCGUGUGAAGAGAUGGCUCACAUGGAGACUUCUGCAGGGGACAAGGCGGAACAGUGUGGCCAGAAUCUGAUUUUCCUACCAGCAACAGGAAUCUGUUGCUACACCUGAGGACAGAUCCCUACCUGAGUGCAAAUGGCUGCAGAAACGUUGACAGCAGUGGAGUGAAAUGGGGGCAAUUCCCAUCAAUGUCAAGACCAAGUUAAG